UCCGGUUUGUCACCGGCAGUCUCAUUAGAGUGCCCUUUCGUAGCAACUAAUGACAAGGGUUGCGCUCGUUGCGGGACUUAACCCAACAUCUCACGACACGAGCUGACGACAGCCAUGCAGCACCUGUCUCCGCGCCCCUUGCGGGGACCGCCCAUCUCUGGGCGUAGCACGGGAUGUCAAGGCCUGGUAAGGUUCUGCGCGUUGCGUCGAAUUAAACCACAUGCUCCACCGCUUGUGCGGGCCCCCGCCAAUUCCUUUGAGUUUCAACCUUGCGGCCGUAGUCCCCAGGCGGAUCACUUAAUGCGUUAGCUUCGGCACGGGAGGAGUCGACACCUCCCACACCUAGUGCCCAUCGUUUACGGCGUGGACUAC
rnacentral:misc_RNA from 1 species